AGGAGAAGAACAAAGAUAAAGACAAGCGUUUCCGUCCCCUCUAUGACAUUCCUUACAUGUUUGAGGCCCGCGAGUUCAUGAGGAAGAAGCUCAGCGGGAAGAAGGUCAACGUGAUGGUGGACUACAUCCGAGCCGCUACCACGGCGACAGAGACCGGCACCGUCCCCGCCUUCCCAGAACGCACCUGUGCCACCGUCACCAUCGGAGGAAUUAACAUAGCAGAGGCGUUGGUGAGUAAAGGUCUGGCUACAGUCAUCAGAUACAGACAGGAUGACGACCAGCGAUCCUCCCACUACGAUCCUCCCACUACGAUGAACUCCUGGCAGCAGAGGCAAGGGCCAUCAAGAAUGGCAAGGGGCUGCACAGCAAGAAGGAAGUUCCAAUCCACAGAGUAGCCGACAUAUCUGGGGACACUCAGAAGGCCAAGCAGUUCCUGCCCUUCCUGCAGAGGGCCGGGCGCUCAGAGGCCGUGGUGGAGUACGUCUUCAGCGGCUCCCGCCUCAAACUCUACAUGCCCAAAGAGACCUGCCUCAUCACCUUCCUUCUGGCAGGCAUCGAGUGUCCCCGUGGCUCCAGGAACAUGCCCAGUGGCCUCCAGGAAGCGGAGCCAUUCAGUGACGAGGCCAUGCUGUUCACCAAAGAGCUCGUCAUGCAGAGAGAGGUGAGG